rnacentral:rRNA from 1 species
UGGGGAAUAUUGGACAAUGGGCGAAAGCCUGAUCCAGCCAUGCCGCGUGAGUGACGAAGGCCUUAGGGUUGUAAAACUCUUUCGUCGGGGACGAUAAUGACGGUACCCGAAUAAGAAGCUCCGGCUAACUUCGUGCCAGCAGCCGCGGUAAUACGAAGGGAGCUAGCGUUGUUCGGAAUCACUGGGCGUAAAGCGCACGUAGGCGGAUAGUUAAGUCAGGGGUGAAAUCCUGGGGCGCAACCCCAGAACUGCCUUUGAUACUGGCUGUCUCGAGGUCGAGAGAGGUUGGUGGAAUUCCUAGUGUAGAGGUGAAAUUCGUAGAUAUUAGGAAGAACACCAGUGGCGAAGGCGGCCAACUGGCUCGAUACUGACGCUGAGGUGCGAAAGCGUGGGGAGCAAACAGGAUUAGAUACCCACGUAGUCCCUGAGCGGGCUGGCAAGGCGCAU